rnacentral:tRNA from 1 species
GGAGAGGUGCGUCGAAUUGGCAAGACACAGGUUUCGAAAACCUGAGCCUAUUUAUAGGUUUGUGGGUUCAAGUCCCACCCUCUCCG